AAGAUGUUAGUAGAAAUAUUACAAAACCUUGUCAUGGUAUAAUUAUAAGUUAAAGUCUUGUACAUCUUU
rnacentral:tRNA from 1 species